GAUGAAGAACGUAGCGAAAUGCGAUACUUGGUGUGAAUUGCAGAAUCCCGUGAACCAUCGAGUCUUUGAACGCAAGUUGCGCCCGAAGCCUCGGCUAAGGGCACGUCUUCCUGGGCGUCACGCAUCGCGUCUCCCCCAAACCGCCAAGGCGGAGGGGAAGGAAGAUGGCUUCCCGUGCCUCACCCGGGCGCGGUUGGCCUAAAUUUGGAGCCCGCGGCACUUAGCUCUCGCGGCGAUAGGUGGUGAACAAGGCCUUGGCCGUGCAAACAACCCGCUGCGAAGCUCUAUGUCACGUGCGCUCGUCGGACCCUUUGAAGUUGCCUUUGGUGACUUAAAACCUUUGCGACCCCAGGUCAGGCGGGGCUACCCGCUGAAUUUAAGCAUAUCAAUAAGCGGAGGA
rnacentral:misc_RNA from 1 species